rnacentral:tRNA from 1 species
GGCGUCUUACCCAAGUGGUAAGGGAAAGGUCUGCAAAACCUCUAUGCAGCGGUUCGAUUCCGCUAGACGCCU